UACGUAGGGGCCAAGCGUUGUCCGGAUUUAUUGGGCGUAAAGAGCUCGUAGGCGGUUGGGUAAGUCGGGUGUGAAAACUCCAGGCUCAACUUGGAGAUGCCACCCGAUACUGCUCUGACUUGAGUUCGGUAGGGGAGUGGGGAAUUCCUGGUGUAGCGGUGAAAUGCGCAGAUAUCAGGAGGAACACCGGUGGCGAAGGCGCCACUCUGGGCCGAAACUGACGCUGAGAAGCGAAAGCAUGGGGAGCGAACAGG
rnacentral:rRNA from 1 species